CACGUAGGGGACGAGCGUUGUCCGGAUUCAUUGGGCGUAAAGCGCGCGUAGGCGGCUCGGAAAGUCGGGCGUGAAAUGCCGGGGCUCAACCCCGGGACUGCGUCCGAUACUUCCGAGCUGGAGGUAGGUAGGGGAGAUCGGAAUUCCUGGUGUAGCAGUGAAAUGCGUAGAUAUCAAGUGGAACACCAGUGGCGAAGGCGAAUCCCUGGAAAAUACCUGACACUGAGGCACGAAAGCUAGGGGAGCAAACAGG
rnacentral:rRNA from 1 species